rnacentral:rRNA from 1 species
UACGUAGGGACCAAGCGUUGUUCGGAUUUACUGGGCGUAAAGGGCGCGUAGGCGGCGCGGUAAGUCACUUGUGAAAUCUCUGAGCUUAACUCAGAACGGCCAAGUGAUACUGCCGGGCUAGAGUCCGGAAGAGGCGAGUGGAAUUCCUGGUGUAGCGGUGGAAUGCGCAGAUAUCAGGAGGAACACCAAUAGCGAAGGCAGCUCGCUGGGACGGUACUGACGCUGAGGCGCGAAAGCGUGGGGAGCGAACAGG